GCAACGUCGAGCGAAUGAAGAGGAGCUUGCUCCUCUGAUUUAGCGGCGGACGGGUGAGUAACACGUGGGUAAUCUGCCUGUAAGACGGGGAUAACUCCGGGAAACCGGGGCUAAUACCGGAUAAUAAGAAGAAACGCAUGUUUCUUUUUUGAAAGUCGGUUUCGGCUGACACUUACAGAUGAGCCCGCGGCGCAUUAGCUAGUUGGUGAGGUAACGGCUCACCAAGGCGACGAUGCGUAGCCGACCUGAGAGGGUGAUCGGCCACACUGGGACUGAGACACGGCCCAGACUCCUACGGGAGGCAGCAGUAGGGAAUCUUCGGCAAUGGGCGAAAGCCUGACCGAGCAACGCCGCGUGAGCGAUGAAGGCCUUCGGGUCGUAAAGCUCUGUUGUUAGAGAAGAACAAGUACGAGAGUAACUGCUCGUACCUUGACGGUACCUAACCAGAAAGCCACGGCUAACUACGUGCCAGCAGCCGCGGUAAUACGUAGGUGGCAAGCGUUAUCCGGAAUUAUUGGGCGUAAAGCGCGCGCAGGCGGUCUCUUAAGUCUGAUGUGAAAGCCCACGGCUCAACCGUGGAGGGUCAUUGGAAACUGGGAGACUUGAGUGCAGGAGAGAAAAGUGGAAUUCCACGUGUAGCGGUGAAAUGCGUAGAGAUGUGGAGGAACACCAGUGGCGAAGGCGGCUUUUUGGCCUGUAACUGACGCUGAGGCGCGAAAGCGUGGGGAGCAAACAGGAUUAGAUACCCUGGUAGUCCACGCCGUAAACGAUGAGUGCUAGGUGUUUGGGGGGUUCCACCCUCAGUGCUGAAGUUAACACAUUAAGCACUCCGCCUGGGGAGUACGACCGCAAGGUUGAAACUCAAAGGAAUUGACGGGGCCCGCACAAGCAGUGGAGCAUGUGGUUUAAUUCGAAGCAACGCGAGAACCUUACCAGGUCUUGAC
rnacentral:rRNA from 1 species